rnacentral:lncRNA from 1 species
AAAAUAUCAUAUAAAAUAUGGAAUUUUUUAACAUGAUACCAAUUAAUACGAAUUAGAUAUGACUUAUUUAAACGGCAAAACUUUAAGAUAAAAGCAACGAAAAUCAUGACCUAUAGAAAUCAAAUUUUGAGCUAAUCUUUUGUCGAGAAAGUUUUUAUGAUAUUCUAAACAUACUAAUUGCGAAAAAAUCACUCACAAAUACAAGUUGUCUUAACGAUAGGGACCAAAACUAAAUACAUGAUUAUUUUCUAGGGACUAAAAAUUUAAUUAAAAUUAAGUAAGAAUUAAACUUAAAAGGUCACCAUUUUAUACGGACCAAAACCAUAUUUAACUCGUCUAAUUAUUAAGCUACUUGAUAUACAAAAUAAUAAUUAAAUUUUGAGUUACUUUUUCGUGUUAGAACCCCCUUAAACAAGUUUUAACGAAUUUAAUAUUUGACGCGAGCGUAUAAAAUUAUUAUUGAUAAGAAAGAUCUCAUGUUAUGUGCUCGACAGAUUUUCAACGAAGAUUAUUCAUCACCGAAAACUUCGCACCUAUAAAGCUAUAAGUAUAACAU